rnacentral:rRNA from 1 species
CCUACGGGCGGCAGCAGUAGGGAAUGUUGCGCAAUGGGGGAAACCCUGACGCAGCAACGCCGCGUGAUAGAUGAAGCCCUUCGGGGUGUAAAGAUCUGUCAGUGGGGACGAAACCUGACGGUACCCACAGAGGAAGCACCGGCUAACUCCGUGCCAGCAGCCGCGGUAAGACGGGGGGUGCAAGCGUUGUCCGGAAUCAUUGGGCGUAAAGAGUUCGUAGGGGGCACGUUAAGUCUGGUGUUAAAGGCGGAGGCUCAUCUUCCGUCGGGCACUGGAUACUGGCGAGCUUGAAUGCGGUAGAGUUAACUGGACUUCCUGGUGUCGCGGUGAACUGCGUAGAUAUCAGGAGGAUCAUCGGUGGCG